CUUAGAUGGAUGACGAGCUGACCGCCCACCUGGUUAAAUGGUUAUUGGAGCCCAUAGACAUUUACAACGUAUGUAAAAUUUUGUUUUUGGGUUUCUAAGCUCUGUUGCUCUGUCAGACCUGACGGUCGCCCUCUCGAAGUAAAACUAGUGGAGUUUCUUGAAUACAUUCUCAGUCGGGCUUGUUGAGGAGCAAUUGCUGCAGUCACGUGCUCUCAUUACUAGACUUCACAUUCAAAUCACGAAGACACAAAUAAAGUUAUGCAGAAUGGCUACUUGCAUUACAAUUGUUGCUGAUGGUAGCUAGGUACCGCAGAGUGAUCGAUGGAGUGUAGUGGGUAGUCGUCGUGGAGGUCGACAUCUGUAAAUUCGAUUUCUCAACGUAAAACAAAGGCACUGCAGGACCAGUUAUGUUUGCUAAGAAACUACCAUUACUUUGCCUCGACUAACUUCGCCCUACGGCGUCACCUGCGGCUAACAUCGCGGGACUCAGCUAUCAAUAAUAAAAUUUUAAUGUUUCCGGAGCGAAGCGAGGGCGGGCCGCUAGGCUGGCUAUACUAUACCCGAGAUAGAGCGUAACGGUGCACGUUAAGGGUGAGCGACAUACGAUGGUAUUUGUGAUGGCGCGUGCUCCGUCGCACCUGCUACACUGGCUUGACGAAGGUCACGGUCGCGGCUUCGUGCAAACACAUGGGA